UAAGGAAUAUUGGGCAAUGGACGCAAGUCUGACCCAGCCAUGCCGCGUGGAGGAUGAAGGUCCUCUGGAUUGUAAACUUCUUUUAUCUGGGAAGAAACCCAUAUUUUCUAGUAUGGUUGACGGUACCAGACGAAUAAGCACCGGCUAACUCCGUGCCAGCAGCCGCGGUAAUACGGAGGGUGCAAGCGUUAUCCGGAUUCACUGGGUUUAAAGGGUGCGUAGGUGGAUUGGUAAGUCCGUGGUGAAAUCCCCGAGCUUAACUUGGGAACUGCCAUGGAUACUAUUAAUCUUGAAUGUCGUGGAGAUGAGCGGAAUAUGUCAUGUAGCGGUGAAAUGCUUAGAUAUGACAUAGAACACCAAUUGCGAAGGCAGCUCGUUACGCGAAUAUUGACACUGAUGCACGAAAGCGUGGGGAUCAAACAGG
rnacentral:rRNA from 1 species